AUCCAGCUGACUAGUCCCAAAUAUGACGCAACGUGCUUCCUGGAU
rnacentral:hammerhead_ribozyme from 1 species